GACCGGCCUCUUCCUGUGAGGCACAGCCCUCUUGGCUCCGGAAAGCUCCUUCCAGGUUUCCCAUCCAUCCAUCCAUGUCUCUUUCUGGUGUGUGUGGAGAUUGGCCCGUUAUGUCUGUCUUAAACAUCCUGUGUGUCGUUGAUUCCAAAUGUAGAACAUACAGCCGGUAUGUUUUUACAGAGAGCCCCGAUUUCUUAUAUUCUGUUCUGUCGUCCCCAAGCCCCUGCCUGUCCCAGAAGUCUGUGUCAGCAUCGAAACAGCCUCCCUUCCUCAAACUCUAAAGCUACGCAGCAGUCCCUCGUCAGGUCCUAUAUGUGCUCGUUUUUUAUUCUGGUACUUUGGCGGAUGUUUCAGCCGUUUACCAACAUCCGGUCAUGGUGACUGCCAAGAGAAGGUUCUUGCACGUGCAGAGAUGUCCCAUAUUGACCUGUAGCUGACUUGCUUCAAACCACCUUAAAGCCAAGUCUGUGAACUGAGCCCGGGUCCUGGUUUUGAUAAGAUACUGGGCAGAGGAUGGCUAGCUUUUUUUGUCAAGGACCACUAGCAGAUAUCUUAGACUCCGUGGGCUGGAUGGUCCCUGCACAGCUACUGAAUUCUGCCCUUGUGCAAAAGCAGCCUAGGCGAAACAUAGACCAGUGAGCAUCGCUAGGGAAACUGGAAUUUCAUGUGAUUUUCAUGUGUCAUAAAAUAUUGGUCUUUUUUUUUUCCCCAACCGCUUAAAAAGGUAAAAACCAUUGGUAGUGUAUGGGCCAUACAAAAAUAGGCUACGGGCUGGAUCUGGCCCACAGACCCUGCUCUAAGGCACUGUGUCUCAGAAACACCUGUCGUUGGAUAUAUAGAAAGUAGUGAUAUUUGCAUGCACACCGAGGUAAAUCAGUGCGGCUGUUCGUGGCCAGAGGGACCAGGCUGGAGAUCCAGCCACCCCAGCCCAGCCCAGUCACCCAGGAGGGUGAGGUGAUUAGCACCGUGUUAUACCUAUAACCACGUCAGACAAAACAGUGACUGAUUCAGAUGAUCAGGACGUCAUGACAUUGUCUUGUUUUCAGUCAUUGUGUGGAGUAUCCCAAGUGAUUUGUUACCAAAAAUAAUUAACUUACUGGAAUUUGAAGUUUUUAAAAACUUGUUUGAGCAGAUUCAAAGCUACUGCAAAAAUGAUUUCCACCCACUUGCUUUCUUGAAGAGAAGAGUGGAGUGAAGCUCUCCUGCAGCCCGACUUGUCGCUGUGGCAGCUCUCGUGACUUUCUGAAUGAUUGGCUUUAUCCUCACAUUCUUUUAAGAUGACUUUUGUGGGUAUAUUAUAUCCCAAAUGUUGUCUGCAGCCCUGUUUGUUGUACUGUCCUAUUUAAAACAAAACAAAACAAAACAAACCCCACCUCGUGGGAAGAGCUCUCAUCAAGAUCUUUAUGCAUAUCACACACACUUACGUCCUCCUUCCUGCACGUAGCCUCACCAGGAAAGUAAGUGGUAAGUUCUUUGUGACCUCUAGAAAACAAGAGGCCACCACUGUCUGCUACCUCCUGCAUGUUUAUUUGGGGGCCCAGGUUCUAUGAGGCUCUUCCCUGGGACACUAACUAAAUGUCCUCUGGUUAGUUUCUUAGCCACUUGACACAGCUCCUUGGUACUGGAAUGAUGUGGUUGCCCAGGGCCGUAGUCACCAAGUACUUUUUAGUACGUUCAUGUAUCAUUAGUACGUUCUUAACCUACUCACAAGGGGUAUAUAUAUUUAAUGCAAGAAUUACAUGCUUGUCCUGUCCUGCACUUAGAAAGAGCUCAUUCUGGGAGCACCUGGGGGGCUCAUUCAGUUAAGCGUCUGACUCUUGAUUUCAGCUCAGGUCACAGUCUCAGGGUUGUGAGAUCGAGCCCCGCGUUGGGCUCCGUUCUGGGCAUGGAGCCUGCCAAAGAUUCCCUCCCCACCCCCCAGUAAAGAAGGAGGUGGGGAGAAAGGAAGGAGAAGAGAGGAGAGGAAGGAAAGAAAGAAAAGAAAGCUCAUUAUAGGAAUAAGAGAAGUCAGAUUUGCCAUUUUCUUGUUUGCUGGUUAUUAGUCUUAAUAUAUUGUCUUAGGUCAGUGGUUUCUUUGCAGGAAUUUGUGUAAGCUACUUUUUCAUUGUAUUUUAGUUGAAACUAAAUAGAAUCUAUAAGCUCACUUCAUUGAGCACCUAUAAAUUUCCACUCAUCACAGCAUGCUGAAAGUAAGUGAAUGAGGACAGGCACCACUGUCCUCUCCCCUUUCGAGUGCCCUUACCUCUAGAAACCUCUAGCACAUAUAAAGUGAAACUGCCCAACAUAAAGGGCCUAGUGAGGCACCGAUAUAUCGUCUACAGUUUAACUCUGUUUCUCUUUAAAGUCAAUGUAAAUGAAAGUUGUAAAAUCUUCCUUCCAUAUCCCAAAGAAUCAUUUUGUGUAUCCCUCCUGCAAAGUGCCUGUUCUCCAUUUGAGGAGCACCUGGCUCAGAGAAAGACAGAAAGACCUCAUAUUUCUUGAUGGGACAGUAUGAAAUUGAUAUUCAAAGAAUUUCAGUGAAGCGGACUGAAUACCUACUUUCUGCUAUAAAACAAAAAUAUUCAAUGCAAUAUAUUAAAAAAACAAAAUGAACACAUAACUGAGCCUACAGAAAGGAAAAUCCCUGAAGGAACUCAGAAUCAGAGCACUAAAGAGCCUCUCCCUUAGUAGGGAACAGGAUAUGUGGCUCUAAGGCACAUAGUGGGAGCUGGACCUGAGACCCCCGGAUAAAACCGAGAGCUUUAGAGACUGCAACAUCCAUACUGAAGGACCUAGAAAAACUCCACCCACCGGCCUUUUAGAAGCAGCAAGGAAAUGUGCCUUCUCCCAGGACUCUGAGUGAGAAUUCUGCAUCAUACAUGAACCUGGGGUCCAAAUUCACACCAUCCAUACCCCAAACUAAGAAAUUUUCACAAGCAGUUGAAUGAAAUCCCAAUCUGAGAAUGAUAAAACACUAAGGAACCUCUGCUGAAACAAAUGCAGACCUGCAUCACAGGGUCACAUUGACAAAACAGGCUAGCUGGAGGUUCCCACGGGAGGAAAGAAGGUCCUAUAAAGCUGAAACUGAGCUUACAAUUAAAACUACAUGGAUGCCUGGGUGACUCAGUCAUUUGAGCAUCUAUCUGACUCUUGAUUUCAGCUCAGGUCAUGAUCUCAGGGUCGUGGGAUUGAGCCCCAUGUCAGGCUCUGUGCUGGGUGCAGAGCCUGCUUGGGAUUCUCUCUCUCCCUCCCCCUUUACCCCUCCCCGCACUCGGGCGCACACUCUCUCUCUCAAAUAAAUUAAAAAAAAUAAAAUAAAAUACACAGACACCACAUAGGGAAGUCAACCACCAUGAGGAAGUUAGCAAAUGCAUAGGGGAAGAUGUUGAGGAUUAUUAAGAGGUUAAAAUACAUAGAAUUUCUAAUGAAAGAACAGAACAGCUAAGGGGGUGGAUUUGAAAAAUAACUGAAUAAAAUUUCAGGAAUAAAAAUAGCCCUGGAAGGAUCUUCAUGGAGAUUUUUCAGAAACGUCAGUGUUCUGCACCAUCACUGGACCGUUGUGAUUUCUGUUUGUUUACGAAGGAGGAAAAUGACUUCCACUAUGUCACCGGCUUUAGGAAAGGGAGAGCUGGGUGAAUGUUCUAGGAACUCUUAAGACUGCAGACUGACUUUAUUUUUUACAUUUAACUGUCAAUAAUUAUGCACUUGAGUUCCUUAUCUUAAAUGAAGUUCUUCAACAAAGACCAGUUACCUCUGCAAAGCACUGUGUUUGGUAUUGUGAUUCAUUCAGAAGCCAUUGGUCAAGAAAUAUUUAUUGAGGGGCGCCUGGGUGGCUCAGUUGGUUAAGCGACUGCCUUCGGCUCAGGUCAUGAUCCCAGGGUCCUGGGAUCGAGCCCCGCAUCGGGCUCCCUGCUCGGCAGGAAGCCUGCUUCUCCCUCUCCCACUCCCCCUGCUUGUGUUCCCUCUCGCCGUCUCUGUCAAAUAAAUAAAAUCUUUAAAAAAAUAUAUAUUGAGCAGCAGUAUGUACCAGGCACCUUUUUUUUCCAAUUGAAUAUGUUUGACAUAUAACAUUGUGUAAAUGUGAGGUGUGCAAACACAUUAAUUUGAUGUGUUCAAAUAUUGUAAUAUAUUUGCCGUGGUAGCCUUAUUUAGCACCUCCGUCACAUUACAUAAUUGUCCUUUCUUUUCAGUGGUUGGAAUAACGAGAGGCACGUUUCUCGAGUUGCUUACACAGCGGCUUUUGAGAAGAGUUCUCAAAGUAUAAACCUUGGUACCUACUCAGUGCAGCAUUAUUUGUAAUGUGGAAGAAUUUAAAGGAACUAAAUAACCAUCAGUAAAAUAUUGUAUAUUCAUUAGACGUAAUUUGGAGCUGAUACUAAAAAGAGCAGACCGAGGGUCAGCCAACUCUUUCUGUGGAGGAGCUGGCAGAAGGUGUGCCGGGCUCUGCAGGGCUUUGUUGUGGCUGCUUGACUCAGCUCCUGGAGCACGGCAGCAGCCCAGGACGAGACCUGUGAGACUCUAUUCACAAAAUGGAUAUGGGCUGAAUUCAGCCCCCAGACCACAGUUCACCAGCCUCUGGGAUACCUCUGCCGACACAGAUCUCCAAGACACUUUGAUAGGUUGAAAAGGCAGCAAGUAGAACUGUAUGGAUGAUCUGAAUUUACAGAAACCAAGUGAGCAGUCACUGUUUAUAUAAAUAUGCAAGGGUAUUUAAAAGGACAUGCCCCACACUGUUAACGAUUUAAAGGAAGAGAUGAGGAGAGAUCAGGGAGAUUUAAGUUUUUAUUUUAUUCUCCUGUCUUGCUUGAGUCUUUUAAGAUUGUACAUAUAUAUAUAUAUAUAUAUAUAUAUUUUUAAGAUUUUAUUUAUUUGACAGAGAGAGACACAGCGAGAGAGGGAACACAAGCAGGGGGAGUGGGAGAGGGAGAAGCAGGCUUCCGGCCAAGCAGGGAGCCCGAUGCGGGGCUCUGAUCCCAGGACCCUGGGAUCAUGACCUGAGCCGAAGGCAGACGCUUAACGACAGAGCCACCCAGGCACCCCAAGAUUGUACUUACAUAUUGUUGGUAUGAGCAAAAACGAAAUGUAAACCUUGGAUCACUGAUAACUUUAAAGGUUUUUCUGGAGCUUUGCGCGGUGGCAGUAUCGUAAACAAUGAGGUUUAUCCGAGGCGCGAUUAUUGCUAAAAGUUUUUCUCGUUGUCAGCUGGUCUCUGAUGAAAGAGCAAAAUAUGUUGAUAUUUGACUCAAGAACUUCAUGGACAAAGAGCAAACUGAUACCAGAAAACAAUCAUCUUGACAAAAGACGAGAGUUGCACCAGACAGCACCAGCUUUAGUAAGAAGCAAUGUAGUUGCUUCUACCAACUCGGUGCUAAAAUGUGAUGUGAAAUAGUAUCAGGAGAGUUAGGGACAAAAGAGAUGGAAAAUCUUUUUUGAAGACCCAGAGAAUCUUCUCCUUUGUGCUGUAGGGAACAGUGAGAACCAUUGGUUUCUGGUUAUAGUAGAUGGAUGACUCCUGUCAUGACUGGCUCCAGACAACUUUUCAAUUUAAAUUCAGAUUGGAAAAGGUUGUCUAGUUUAUGUUCAGUAAAUGUCUUCUCUUCCACUGCCAUUGAUUUUUAUAUAUACAUUGUUUCUAGGUGAAAACAGUUGAAUUUUAUUCUCCUUGGCUAUAUUAAUUCUUAGCCUACAUUAGACUAUAAUGACUCAGAAUUAAACCUGCAUGGGAUUGAUUUGUCAGAUAGCAAAAAAUAUCUGCUGUAAUGUAGGAGAAUGCACUUCUUUUAACCACAGGCAUCUUGAGCCCUUUUUUGUUUUCUUGAUACCUCUUCCUGUUAAACAUAAAUGGAACUUCUCUUUUGCUGGGCUCCCUCCAUGAGGAAGCAUAGCCGGUCUUCCUAGACUGUAGAACUGCUCACGCUGUUGGAAUAGUGUGCACUAGGAUUUCCCCUGGAGAGGGGGAUCUGGGGAUACCUCUUGGAAACUUCUGUGGCCCAAGGAUACCAGAGGAACCCAUGAAGAAUCACUUGUGUGGGUUCUGGUACUAACGAAAAACUAAAUGUAGGAGGUUUGAGACUCGUGGACUUAGGUUAUCAGCCACAAGUCUGUGUAGUAAUUAAAUAGUUUGAUAGAGCAGUGGUUUUCAGAAUGUUUUUUGUGGAACUGUUUUGGAAGCUCUACGGAUUUUUGAAUAUAUACAUGUAUAUAUUUUUGAACUAAUUGUAAAGCCACAUUAAAAAUCCACAUGCUCAAAAAUAUAACCAGAUUUUAACAUCAGCAUAUUAACUUCAGCUAUCAGCCUACCUGUUUGCAUUUUGCCUCCUAUCUCUAAUUAAUUAAAGAAUAUAAUGUGAUUGCAAAGAAAGCCAAUUUUUUUUUUUUAAAGAUUUUAUUUAUUUGACAGAGAGAGACACAGCGAGAGAGAGAGAACACAAGCAGGGGGAGCGGGAGAGGGAGAAGCAGGCUUCCCGCCGAGCGGGGAGCCCGAUGCGGGGCUCGAUCCCAGGACCCUGGGAUCAUGACCUGAGCCGAAGGUAGACGCUUAACGACGGAGCCACCCAGGUGCCCCGAAAGCCAAUUUUUAACCUGCUAAUAUUUGGAAUCUACUUAUCUGUGUGACUUAUCCUCUAUAUUGUGUACGCAAAACAAAAUACAGGAGUAAUUUAGAUGCCGAGGUAGUUAACAUAAAUUGCAACUGUCCUAGGCAUCUCUGAUUUCUGAUUCUUAGAUCCAUUAAAGCAACUUUAUUGUCUUCAUUUACUAACUUUAAAAGUAAAUGUUAAAAUUGUAACUCAAAAAUCCAUCCUAAAUAUUUUACAUAUUUGAUGUCCCGUAUAACAGUAUUUCACUCAAGACCUUUUAAAGGAGGAAACCAAUAAAAUACCAGAUUGGCUACUCGAUUUAUGUAACAGUGUUUAUAAUGGGAUGGAACUUUUCUGGAUGGAAUUGUGUGGCUUAACCGUUUCUUCUGGAAGCAGUAUUUCAUGGAGUCUAGCAUGUCAUCACUGGUGUCUUUUCUGUUUGGAGGUCUGUCAGAAGGGAAGUAUCAGAACUUCCUCAGCCAGGGGUUCUUUGUAUAUGGCAAUAGCUUGAUCCAGCAAAAAUGUCACAGAUUAUGUUAGUUCUCCCUGCUCUGCAAAAACAAGAGAAAAGAAUAAUAUUUUUGAAGUUUAAACUGAAAGAAUCAGAGAGCAAAAAGGAAUAGUUUGAGAGGGCCUGAUUGUUACCCUCAUCUGCACCUAAGGUUCAAAAAUCCCUGUUUAAUUUGCAUACCACCCCACCUCAGAAACUGCAGGCCUCGCUCCCUGCCUCCCCUGAAGCUUUGCACUCAGCCCUGGGGGAGUGUUGAAAUAGGCUCAGCAUUUGGUGGUGGCAUUAAGAUGUGUGUAUGACAGUGUGCAGCCUGCCACUAAUUAAAAAAAAAAAAGAAAUCAAGGCUUGAAAGCGAAGGAACAAUGUGUAGUCAUUUUCCCAAAGGAGCAGAAGCAAUCGGCUGAUUCUCUUCAGCUUCCUGAAGAACAGAGCCUGCAAUGAAUGUUUAUGUGUGUGAAGCACCAUCUGUUAUCUUUGCAGGAAGUGGAAAAUAUGAGUAAUUUGGAGAUUCAGGAUCUUUUUUUCCCUUUUCUCCAUCCCCUCCCAUGUUCAGGAUCUUCCCAGGAGUCUCAGGAAAUGUAACAUCCCUCCAGUUAGUCACUUACCCUCCUGGUAGCUUUCCUUUUCAGUUUUCAUAACAUAACCCUCCAUGGCUGACUCCUGGAGCCUCACACCCAAGUGCCUGCUCAGUCAGGUUUGAGUCGUGGUUUGGGAAGAUCAGCCACUGAUGGAUGAUGGUGGCUGAUACUGAUGGGCACCAGUCUUCCAAACGUCAUUAGUCCCUUUAAUGUAUCCCUCUGCGUGCAUAUACUAAACCAUUCAGCAGGAUAGAGCAUUUCAAAACCCAUCAGCAUCUCUUGACUCCACUGGAAUACACCUGGACUAGUCUGAAGUAAGUCAUAAUUCUGGAUGAAAGCUUGAAUCCCUUUAUGUGGACUUGCAUGGAAAUGGUCCUGAUUACAGACACUGGAAACAGCAAGGCGCAAAGCCUCCAUAUGGUUUCUUUGCAGCCUGCUGGGGGGCGUGGGAGGUGGGGAACAAACCUCGAAAGCCAAGACUGAAGCCCCCUGCCAGGACUGCUUCGAAGUACCUUAAUUUAGGAGAAACCUGGCAGGUCUUUUUUUCAGCCAUAAUUCGAUUCGUUUUAGGAUUAGGUCACUUCAGUGGGGAAAGGAAAGAGUGUCUCUCCAAUUCUUAUUUCUUCAGCUAUGUAAAGCUUCCCUUGAAAAAUCAGCUGUUCUUUCCAGCUGCCACAAAUAAUUUGGUCUUUGGAAUGCAUGGUGGAGUCCUUCAGAGCAAGGAAUUCCUUAUGUUUGGGUUUCAGGUCUUGUCAGGGGUUCUGUUUUAUUUGCUUUAAACAGAUGUAAGAUGAUCUUGAGAUUACUGUUGAUUUAUUUUCUGUUGUGUUAGCAGCUUCUGAGUACUUUUGUGGUUGGUUGUUUCUCUUGAUUAAAAGAAUAAACAAGCAGAUCAGCUGCAAUCUAAAGAGGAACCAGGAGAGUGUUCAGAACGUGUGUGAUGGUCAGAUUUUGCUUUGGAUUUUAUCUGAGAAGGCAGCUCUCCAGAUGCUGGUUUCUGAUGUGUAGAGUUCAUUGCUUAAAUUAGAUAGUAAAAUACACAUAAUCGAUUAAAGAAAAGACAUGGGUCGUUUAGGGAAAAGGGAGGUAAAAGAAGAGCCUCAUCCGUGAAGUUGGUUCCCAAGCAGGGCACUUUUGUUCUCUUGCAUUUUGUUUACCGGCAUUCUUAGGAGCACUUACCAGUGCUUGUUACAUGAGCACUUCAGCUAAGAUGUUGGUGCUCUUUUCUGUGGCUUUCCUCCUGUUCUGUGCAUCAGCUCUGUGGUUAUUACACCACACCAGCUACAAAGAACAUUUUAUGUGCCUUGUAGCUAAUAAGCUCUAUCAGUCCAAGACCACGAUGUUUCACACUCCCCAGAGAUUUUAAACAAAAUAAGUUGCAGAAAGAAUUUUGGAGCAUGUAUUUCUACAUUGCUCAUACUAACUGGUUUGUUGUUGUUUCCAUUGUCACUUGUUUUAGUUUUAGUUUUAGUUUCUAGGUUGAAAUGAUAGGAAGCAGUUGUACUUUUCUAUCCUUAAAGGUAACGCUUCAGCCUGUUGCUUGAGAAGGAUCAGAGCAUUUUCCCUGGAUCAGUUUUGCUGCCUCGAUGUGGCUCGGCUAGGCAGGAUUCCGGGCAUGUCCCUAAGGGUGAUCAGUGACUCAGGAUGGGAAGUUCCCUCUCUUCAGAACUCCGCUCGAGAAGGUGAAUCCUCCCUUUCAUAGCAGUCCUGUGAUUCCAGUUCCAUUCGGCAGGGCCGUUCUUCUUACCCUUCUAUAAAGCAGACUUUCGGAGUUUCUUACCAGUUGUUGUUUGUUUUUCUGCUGAAAGAGAAACAACGUGUAGUAUAUAACAGCCCACCACAGAUCUGUGGCGGUUGGUGGCAGAGGUUUAAAAAAAAAAAAAAAAAGGCAGCAACAGAUAGAUGAUAUUUCCCAGUUAUGUGGGUUUUCCUUCAUAUUCUUUUGUCUGAUGCCUCCUUGUAGUGAAAAAAAGAAAUUGUUGAAGGCUGGACUGUUUGUGUUUAAAUUCAGAGGAAUCUAAUUAGGAGCCGGCUCUGUUCUCAUAAACCACUGUGCUGAGACCUUUUUGAAUAGCUUUGAAAAAUGAAAGCAUGUUGCUUACUGCUAUUAGGAAAUUUUUUUUCUUUUAAAUAAAUAAAAGGCCAAAUAAUUCUUUGAUCUCCCUAACAACAUGGUAUGGUUUGAGGCAGUGAGCUUAACGUGUAUUAGAUUUGUCUUUGGUUCUUCUGUUCUUGGUAAUUGUCUGUGUUCCAGAACCGAGAAUAAGAUUUUAACCUCGUGACUCUGGCUGAUGUCAGUGGGGCCAGAGUUUCUAAACCUCUCCCACACACCACUAAAACUGUGGCUGCGAACAGUCUGGGACAACUUGGUAACAGGCUGAGUGUUUUUCAAGUAGGUACUUGAGUAUGUUAGGCAGGCAUCCACACAAAUUACUUAUCACUGAGACUCGUGACCCUGUUACAGAGCAUAUUAAAAUUUCAGCUGGGUUAGAGGUUUGGGGACCUGUCUCAGCUAACUAAGAAAGUGAAUUUGUAUGAAAAGUUGUUUUUUAGAAGUACAUUUUAUCAUCAUAUCUGCAUGGGUUGAUUCAUCAGUUGGAGAUGUCUGUUAAGUCUCAAAUACUGGCCUGAGAACUUGAAUAUUACUGAAGUCUGUUUCAAAGUGAUGGUACCACUUCCUCAAAAAUCACCUUUGCUUAAUUCUGUGGUGUUAGAACUGACUGGGGAGAAAGGCACAGACAGAAUGUACUUCGGAGACAGGACAUGCGUGUCCCAAUGUACUGACGGGUCUCUUCUAGAUCAAAAUUAGUGGCAGGUUCUCGGGCAAAUCCCACCUCCUCUGUUGCCCAUAGAUGCCAAAAACAUUGAUUUUCGUGAAAGAGAAGAAAAUGCACUUUUGUAACUGGAAUAGAAGACAAGAGAGGCUGAUUAAAAAAUUGUUUUUAGUUUAUCACAACUAUGAUUGACUUUUUUAAAGGAUAAGGGGAUGUUUAUAAGGAAAUCCAAGGAACUUGGAGGAUAUUAGGAUAUGAUACACUGGGGUUUUGGUUUUUAAAUACUAGUGGGAAGUAGUACAUGGAUAAUGUAACAACACCUAUGUACUCACCACUCAACAUGAAAAAGUAGUAAAAUUUGUUAUAUGGCUUCAGAUUAUUUUUCAGUCUUGAAGAAAUAAACAUUACAGUUGAAUCCCCGUCUUUCCCUGCCUAAUUCUCUUCCUCCCUCCCCAAGGACAAGCACUGUCAUUUACUGGGGUGCCUGCCAUGCAGAUGCCUGGGAGCACGGAGUCCCUCUGUGUAUGUAGUCUGUAUUUUGUAAUUUUAUCUCCCACGUAAAUGUUUAAUUUUUUUGUUUUGAGUUUACAUAAAUGGUACCUUACCUCAUUCUGUAAUUUUCUUUAUUCUCCUCAACAUUAAAUCUGGGGGAUCCAGAGUAUUGCAAAUGAUCAAUCUAGACCAUGGACUUCUAACUCUUAAAUGGUGUUCCAUUUUAUGAAUAUAUCAAAUCUGUCCCACUACUAAGUCAUUUGGGUCAUUUCCAGUGUCUCUCUCUAUUGUAAGCAGGGCUGCAGGGAACAUCCCUGUACACCAAGGGAAUUGCUAAGUCAUAAAGCGGGCACCUUGUCAACUUAACUAUAUGUUGCCAAAUUACUGUCCAACAUGAAGGUACCAGCUUCUAGAUCCCUCAGCAGAUGCUGAGAGUUCCCGCAUCUCCGUUUCUUCACCAGUACCUAGAAUAGGCAGACUUUUAUUUUAUCCAGCCUGGUUGGACACGAAAUAGUAUUUCUCUGUUGUUCUAGUUUGCAUUUCUCUGAUUUCUAGAGAGAUCAGGCACCGUUUUGUGUUGUGAAUGACCUGUUCGUGGUCUGUACAACUUUUCUGUUGCAUUGUCUUUUUCUUGUUGUUUUACAGUGAGUCUUAAACACUUUCAAGACUCUGCAAUUGUGUGUGGCAGUACAUUUAAUACCAUUUCAAAAUGUGUCCGUGAUAUGGAUUCAUUAGUUUUCCUCAUAUGCCUUUAUCUUCCACGUUUUAAAGUGUAUUUUAUUAAGUAGAAGGGAGCCAACGAGAGGUUCUCUUAAGCAAGACUCUGAGAGGGGAGAAGGAGGAAUGGGAUUAAACGAGGUAUUUGAAACAGUUUAGCUGAGCGGGGAUUUGUGAAAGACAGAGGAAAGGUGGCAAGGGGAGCUCUGGAGCCUGAAAGAGAGGAUGGGUCACCUCGGCCCUUGGAACAGAGGGGCUCCGUGCUCCCAGGCAUCUGCAUGGCAGGCACCCCGAGUAAAGAUAGUGUGCGGAUGGGGGAAUGCAUCUGUCUUACUAGAAAAUGACUGUAGGAAUUUGUCUCGGCUACUGGGUGGUGUUUCUUGCUGUGGGUCCAGCAGCUUGGAGCUCACCCGCCCACCUCUCCCGCUCUUCAGACAUCUAGUGCUUUUUACUGUGGGCCAGGAACUGGGGAUAGGGAUAUAAAAAUUGUACGAGACAAAGUGAGACUCCCUCAAGGAGUUUUCUGUCCGGUGGAACAGAGUGGCCAGUCCAGUACCGUGACGGAAGCAGGCGUGGAAUUCCAGAAGUGCCGAGGUGGGGAAUCUUUUCUUCCCUGGGUGAGCCAGGACUUCAUCGAGAAAGGUGACCAGACAGUGACUGUCACGGGGGUGGAGCCAGAAGAGGUUGGCUGGCUGGGGGCAGAAGCAGGCCUAGGAGUGAAAGUCCCCGAACCAAGCCUCAUCCCACCCCCAGGACUGCAGACUGGUUCCGACGGUGGGCCAUCCUGUUGACAAAAGCAGACGUGCUCCUCAUAGCCUCCUGGGUGCUGGUGGCCUCUGUCCAGACUCCUCCAGUUGAGGCCCUUCCCUGACCGUAACCUACGGAGUGGCUGGAGCUACCCGAGUGAUAAUUCAGAUGACGCAGAAGUUGAAAUCUUUGGCUGCAUGAACCUGGUGGGACGGUCCAUGGGAUUUA